rnacentral:rRNA from 1 species
ACGGACCCCGCACAAGCGGUGGAUCAUGUUGUUUAAUUCGAUGAUACGCGAAGAACCUUACCAGGUCUUGACAUCCCCUGCAAAGCUAUGGAGACAUAGUGGAGGUUAUCAGGGAGACAGGUGGUGCAUGGUUGUCGUCAGCUCGUGUCGUGAGAUGUUGGGUUAAGUCCCGCAACGAGCGCAACCCUUAUUGCUAGUUACCAUCAUUCAGUUUGGGGACUCUAGCGAGACUGCCAGUGAUAAACUGGAGGAAGGUGGGGAUGACGUCAAAUCAUCAUGCCCCUUAUGACCUGGGCUACAAACGUGAUACAAUGGCUGAAACAAAGGGCAGCGAAGCAGUGAUGUGGAGCGAAACCCAAAAAAGCAGUCUCAGUUCGGAUUGAAGUCUGCAACUCGACUUCAUGAAGUCGGAAUCGCUAGUAAUCGCGGAUCAGAACGCCGCGGUGAAUACGUUCUCGGGGUUU